UACGUAGGCAGCGAGCGUUGUUCGGAGUUACUGGGCGUAAAGGGUGUGUAGGCGGUUGUUUAAGUUUGGUGGGAAAUCUCCCGGCUCAACUGGGAGGGUGCGCCGAAUACUGAAUGACUAGAGUGCGGGAGAGGAAAGUGGAAUUCCUGGUGUAGCGGUGAAAUGCGUAGAUAUCAGGAGGAACACCGGUGGUGUAGACGGCUUUCUGGACCGUAACUGACGCUGAGACACGAAAGCGUGGGUAGCAAACAGG
rnacentral:rRNA from 1 species